GUGUCAGCAGCCGCGGUAAUACGUAGGCAGCAAGCGUUGUUCGGAGUUACUGGGCGUAAAGGGUGUGUAGGCGGUUCCCUAAGUUUGGUGUGAAAUCUCCCGGCUCAACUGGGAGGGUGCGCCGAAAACUGGGGGGCUAGAGUACUGGAUGGGAGAGUGGAAUUCCUGGUGUAGCGGUGAAAUGCGUAGAUAUCAGGAGGAACACCUGUGGUGUAGACGGCUCUCUGGACAGUAACUGACGCUGAGACACGAAAGCGUGGGUAGCAAACAGGAUUAGAUACCCCCGUAGUCC
rnacentral:rRNA from 1 species